AUCUGAAGUGGAGUAAAGGUUCCGGCCGGUUGCGGAUGGGGAUGCGUCCGAUUAGCUUGACGGCGGGGUAACGGCCCACCGUGGCAUCGAUCGGUAGGGGUUCUGAGAGGAAGGUCCCCCACAUUGGAACUGAGACACGGUCCAAACUCCUACGGGAGGCAGCAGUGAGGAAUAUUGGUCAAUGGGCGGAAGCCUGAACCAGCCAAGUAGCGUGAAGGACGACUGCCCUAUGGGUUGUAAACUUCUUUUAUGCGGGGAUAAAGUUCGCCACGUGUGGCGUUUUGCAGGUACCGCAUGAAUAAGGACCGGCUAAUUCCGUGCCAGCAGCCGCGGUAAUACGGAAGGUCCAGGCGUUAUCCGGAUUCAUUGGGUUUAAAGGGAGCGUAGGCCGCCUUUUAAGCGUGUUGUGAAAUGUAGGGGCUCAACCCCUGCACUGCAGCGCGAACUGGAGGGCUUGAGUACACACAAAGUAGGCGGAAUUCAUGGUGUAGCGGUGAAAUGCUUAGAUAUCAUGAAGAACCCCGAUUGCGAAGGCAGCUUACUGGAGUGUAACUGACGCUGAAGCUCGAAAGCGCGGGUAUCGAACAGGAUUAGAUACCCUGGUAGUCCGCGCGGUAAACGAUGGAUGCCCGCUGUUUGCCAAUUUGGUAAGCGGCCAAGCGAAAGCGUUAAGCAUCCCACCUGGGGAGUACGCCGGCAACGGUGAAACUCAAA
rnacentral:rRNA from 1 species